rnacentral:rRNA from 1 species
UGAGGAAUAUUGGUCGAUGGGCGCAAGCCUGAACCAGCCAUCCCGCGUGCAGGAAGACGGCCCUAUGGGUUGUAAACUGCUUUUCCAGGGGGAGAAUUUUUCUGUCGUGACAGGAAUUGACGGUACCCUGGGAAUAAGCAUCGGCUAACUCCGUGCCAGCAGCCGCGGUAAUACGGAGGAUGCGAGCGUUAUCCGGAUUUAUUGGGUUUAAAGGGUGCGUAGGCGGAUUGAUAAGUCAGUGGUGAAAACCUGCAGCUCAACUGUAGACUUGCCGUUGAUACUGUCAGGCUUGAGUGUGGUCAAGGUAGGCGGAAUGGGUAAUGUAGCGGUGAAAUGCUUAGAUAUUACACAGAACACCGAUUGCGAAGGCAGCUUACUGGGGCAUUACUGACGCUGAUGCACGAAAGCGUGGGGAUCGAACAG